rnacentral:hammerhead_ribozyme from 1 species
GUAUUGCUGAAGAGUCGCAAACUAGGACGAAACAGCUGUGUAGUAC